AGCCGAUCCUAAGGGACGGGGUAACCCCGGCAGAUAGCGCGAUCACGCGCAUCCCCCGAAAGGGAAUCGGGUUAAGAUUUCCGCAGCCGGGAUGUGGCGGUUGACGGCGACGUUAGGAAGUCCGGAGACGCCGGCGGGGGCCUCGGGAAGAGUUAUCUUUUCUGCUUAACGGCCUGCCAACCCUGGAAACGGUUCAGCCGGAGGUAGGGUCC
rnacentral:ncRNA from 1 species